UACGGAGGGUGCGAGCGUUGUCCGGAAUCAUUGGGCGUAAAGGGCGCGUAGGUGGCGGGACAAGCGUGCGGUGAAAGCCUGGGGCUCAACCCCGGGUCGGCCGUGCGAACUGUUUUGCUUGAGCACUGUAGAGGCAGGCGGAAUUCCGGGUGUAGCGGUGGAAUGCGCAGAGAUCCGGAAGAACACCGGUGGCGAAGGCGGCCUGCUGGGCAGUAGCUGACACUGAGGCGCGACAGCGUGGGGAGCAAACAGG
rnacentral:rRNA from 1 species